CAACUACUCCCUCUGUUCGGAAUUACUUGUCGCAGAAAUGGAUGUAUGUAGAUGUAUUUUAGUUCUAGAUACAUCCAUUUCCGAGACAAGUAAUUCCGAACGGAGGGAGUACAUG
rnacentral:pre_miRNA from 1 species